GACGAACCGUGCAAACGUUGUUCGGAAUCACUGGGCUUAAAGGGCGCGUAGGCGGGUUCCCAAGUCGGUGGUGAAAUCUUUCAGCUCAACUGGAAAAGUGCCGCCGAUACUGGGAGUCUUGAGGGAGGUAGGGGUCGAGGGAACUGGUGGUGGAGCGGUGAAAUGCGUAGAUAUCACUAGGAACGCCGGUGGCGAAAGCGCUCGACUGGACCUCUUCUGACGCUGAGGCGCGAAAGCCAGGGGAGCGAAACGGG
rnacentral:rRNA from 1 species